GACGAACGCUGGCGGCGUGCUUAACACAUGCAAGUCGAACGGUGAAGGGACCGGUUUUUGCUGGUUCUGGAUGAGUGGCGAACGGGUGAGUAACACGUGAGUAACCUGCCCCCUUCUUCUGGAUAACCGCAUGAAAGUGUGGCUAAUACGGGAUAUUCUGCGCCUGCUGCAUGGUGGGUGUGGGAAAGAUAUUGUUUCGGUGGGGGAUGGGCUCGCGGCCUAUCAGCUUGUUGGUGGGGUGAUGGCCUACCAAGGCGGUGACGGGUAGCCGGCCUGAGAGGGUGGACGGUCACACUGGGACUGAGACACGGCCCAGACUCCUACGGGAGGCAGCAGUGGGGAAUAUUGCACAAUGGGCGCAAGCCUGAUGCAGCGACGCCGCGGGAGGGAUGGAGGCCUUCGGGUUGUAAACCUCUUUCGCCAGUGAAGCAGGCCUGUCCCUUUUGUGGGUGGGUUGACGGUAGCUGGAUAAGAAGCGCCGGCUAACUACGUG
rnacentral:rRNA from 1 species